CGCUGAGCGCGUCCGGCCUCAGCGCCGGGCCCGGAGCGCCGGCACGGACAGACGGACAGACGGACAGGCGGACAGCCGGGCGGCUCUGCCUUGUUACAGACAACGCUGUCUUACCCAGUCCCUUGUUGUGAGCGUGUGUGUGCGUGCAGAGCGCGGUACACGGGAGCUGUGAAGAAACACCCGAAGGUACAACACAGAGACACCAGGAGACAUCCAUACACAUAUGGAAGAAAUGGAAGGUUCUUGACUGCUCUGCGCUGCACGGGCCGGACGGAGCCCGGAGCCACGGCCAGCCCGGUUUGCCUGCCGGGGCGGCGGAGCCCGCGGUGCAGGCCCGGGCAAACAGCGGGUCAAUGAUUAACCG